GACGAACGCUGGCGGCGUGCUUAACACAUGCAAGUCGAACGGUAAGGCCCUUCGGGGUACACGAGUGGCGAACGGGUGAGUAACACGUGGGUGAUCUGCCCUGCACUUCGGGAUAAGCCUGGGAAACUGGGUCUAAUACCGGAUAGGACCACUGCCUGCAUGGGUGGUGGUGGAAAGCUUUUGCGGGGUGGGAUGGGCCCGCGGCCUAUCAGCUUGUUGGUGGGGUGAUGGCCUACCAAGGCGACGACGGGUAGCCGGCCUGAGAGGGUGGCCGGACACACUGGGACUGAGAGACGGCGCAGACUCCUACGGGAGGCAGCAGUGGGGAAUAUUGCACAAUGGGCGCAAGCCUGAUGCAGCGACGCCGCGUGAGGGAUGACGGCCUUCGGGUUGUAAACCUCUUUCAGCACCGACGAAGCGCAAGUGACGGUAGGUGCAGAAGAAGGACCGGCCAACUACGUGCCAGCCGCCGCAGUAA
rnacentral:rRNA from 1 species